ensembl:snRNA U6 U6 spliceosomal RNA
GUCCUAGCUUUGGUAGUACAUAUACUGAAAUUGGCAUGAUACAGAGAAGAUUAGCAUGGCCCCUGCUCAAGGAUUACACACAAAUUCAUGAAGUGUACCAUAUUUUU